AAGUCGUAACAAGGUUUCCGUAGGUGAACCUGCGGAAGGAUCAUUAACACGUCCAAACGUUUCUCACCAACUGUGCAUCGACUGUCAUGUCCCUUGUGCCUCGAGCACGAGACGACAAGCAGUGGCGGAGAGCGAUGGUUCGCCUUGCUCUCCAACGCUGCUUUUAUAUUCUAUUCUUUAUUCACGUUAUUCCUCUUUAUUCGCUUCUCUUCGUUGGAAGCGCGUCAUGUUGUGCUGUGCUUCACCAUGUCAAUGGUGUGGUACAUUGUUGGAUUGACUAUGUCAAUCUUGUACGAAUAGUAUCAACAACUCUUAGCAAUGGAUAUCUCGGUUCUC
rnacentral:misc_RNA from 1 species